AACGCUAGCUACAGGCUUAACACAUGCAAGUCGAGGGGCAGCAUGAACUUAGCUUGCUAAGUUUGAUGGCGACCGGCGCACGGGUGAGUAACACGUAUCCAACCUCCCGCAUACUCGGGGAUAGCCUUUCGAAAGAAAGAUUAAUACCCGAUGGUUUCAAGAGUUUGCAUGAAAACUUGAAUAAAGAUUUAUUGGUAUGCGAUGGGGAUGCGUUCCAUUAGGUAGUAGGCGGGGUAACGGCCCACCUAGCCUACGAUGGAUAGGGGUUCUGAGAGGAAGGUCCCCCACAUUGGAACUGAGACACGGUCCAAACUCCUACGGGAGGCAGCAGUGAGGAAUAUUGGUCAAUGGGCGCGAGCCUGAACCAGCCAAGUAGCGUGAAGGAUGAAGGUCCUAUGGAUUGUAAACUUCUUUUAUACGGGAAUAAAGUGGCCUACGUGUAGGCUUUUGCAUGUACCGUAUGAAUAAGCAUCGGCUAACUCCGUGCCAGCAGCCGCGGUAAUACGGAGGAUGCGAGCGUUAUCCGGAUUUAUUGGGUUUAAAGGGAGCGUAGACGGGUCGUUAAGUCAGCUGUGAAAGUUUGGGGCUCAACCUUAAAAUUGCAGUUGAUACUGGCGUCCUUGAGUACGGUUGAGGCAGGCGGAAUUCGUGGUGUAGCGGUGAAAUGCUUAGAUAUCACGAAGAACUCCGAUUG
rnacentral:rRNA from 1 species